GACGAAGGAUGCAAGCGUUAUCCGGAUUCAUUGGGUUUAAAGGGUGCGUAGGUGGCCUUGUAAGUCAGUGGUGAAAUCUCUCGGCUUAACUGAGAAAUUGCCAUUGAUACUGCAGGGCUUGAGUACAGAUGCCGUUGGCGGAAUAUGACAUGUAGUGGUGAAAUACAUAGAGAUGUCAUAGAACACCGAUUGCGAAGGUAGCUGACGAAACUGUAACUGACACUGAGGCUCGAAAGUGUGGGGAUCAAACAGG
rnacentral:rRNA from 1 species